GAUGAACGCUGGCGGCGUGCCUCAUGCAUGCAAGUCGAACGGGGACACUUUGAGUAGCAAUACUUAGGGUGUUCUAGUGGCGAUCGGGUGAGUAACACGUAGGUGACCUACCCCAAAGAGGGGGAGUAACGGUCCGAAAGGAACUGCUAAUACCCACUGUUAUUGAUGAUUCAUUUCAUCAAUUAAAGUUUCCGCAAGGAGUAUGCUUUGGGAGGGGCCUGCGGCGGAUUAGAUAGNGGUGGGGUAAUGGCCUACCAAGUCGAUGACCCGUAGCUAGUCUGAGAGGACGAUUAGCCACAC
rnacentral:rRNA from 1 species